rnacentral:lncRNA from 1 species
UGCUGCUGCCUAUGCUUUUCUUCAUGCCUUUGCUUUUCCAAUUCCCUCUUCUUCCUAAUCCUCCUCUCUUCUUCAGUCUCAACCCGAGCAUUGGCUGCUUUCUUCACAGGCAAUGGAGGCACAGAACGCCCUCCUGGCUGUUUAGACCGACCAGCAGCCUGAUGAUUACCAUGUCCCGGUUCGCGCCAACCAGAAUCUAGCCUUUUCUCGCCC